rnacentral:rRNA from 1 species
CCUACGGGUGGCAGCAGUGAGGAAUUUUGGUCAAUGGACGCAAGUCUGACCCAGCCACGCCGCGUGCAGGAAGACGGCUCUCUGAGUUGUAAACUGCUUUUGUACAGGAGUAAACGUGAAUACGUGAAUUCAGCUGCAAGUACUGUACGAAUAAGGAUCGGCUAACGACGUGUCAGCAGCCGCGGUAAUACGGAGGUUCCAAGCGUGAUCCGGAUUUAUUGGGUGUAAGGGGUGCGUAGGCGGAGUGAUAAGUUAGAGGUGAAAUGUCCGGGCUUAACUCGGGAACUGCAUUUGAUACUGUUGAUCUAGAGAGUAGAAGGGGUAGGCGGAAUGUAUGGUGUAGCGGUGAAAUGCUUAGAUAUCAGAAAGAACACCGAUUGCGAAGGCAACUUACCGGUCUAUAUCUGACGUUGAGGCACGAAAGCGUGGGGAGCAAACAGGAUUAGAUACCCCUGUAGUC